rnacentral:lncRNA from 1 species
CUUUCUCCGGGAUUCCUCUGAGGGCCAAGGUCUGGUCACCCAGAGGCUGCUAAUUUCAAAGGCAAUAUGAGAGGGACUGGAUGUUUGGAGGGGGACACGGGGCUGGACAUCUGGAUCCCCAAACCCGGACUCACCUCUCGGACAGGGCUGAUUCCGAUCGGACACUUCCGGUGGAAGGACUGAGCGGCGCUACACUUCAAGAAUUCCGUCCACAGGGACUUGUGAGUCUGCGCAGAAGGCGGGAUGCCUUUGGACUACAAUUCCAAGAAUCCUUCCUGGGUCUCUUCGGGCGCAGACUUUUCGCCAAAGUCCUGAAGAUCUCAGGGCUUGAAGGAGGGGGCAUCUUUUUUCUCCAUUGUAGUAGUGUGUCUUGCUAAAUAACAGAAGGGACUCCUGAAAAGAAAAUGACGUUGGCCGGGCGCGGUGGCUCACGCCUGCAGUCCCAGCACUUUGGGAGGCCGAGACGGGCGGAUCACGAGGUGGUGAAAUUGAAGCCCACGCAGCAGGGUUGCAACUGAAACUUCAUCUCCUCUGCAAAACCUUCCUGCAUUCCCAGACAACUUUUCUUCUGAGGCCUUGUUUGAUUCAUCCCCUUACCCCAGUGGAACUCAGAUAUUCAAAAUGGUAUUAAUUAAAACCACUGGCUGUCAUUGGUCCAUGC